UACGAAGGGGGCUAGCGUUGCUCGGAAUCACUGGGCGUAAAGCGCACGUAGGCGGCUUUUUAAGUCAGAGGUGAAAUCCUGGAGGCUCAACUCCAGAACUGCCUUUGAUACUGAGAGGCUUGAGUCCGGGAGAGGUGAGUGGAACUGCGAGUGUAGAGGUGAAAUUCGUAGAUAUCGCAAGAACACCAGUGGCGAAGGCGGCUCACUGGCCCGGUACUGACGCUGAGGUGCGAAAGCGUGGGAGCAAC
rnacentral:rRNA from 1 species